rnacentral:rRNA from 1 species
UACGUAGGGUGCAAGCGUUGUCCGGAAUUAUUGGGCGUAAAGAGCUCGUAGGCGGUUUGUCGCGUCUGCUGUGAAAAUCCAGGGCUUAACCCUGGACCUGCAGUGGGUACGGGCAGACUAGAGUGCGGUAGGGGAGAUCGGAAUUCCUGGUGUAGCGGUGAAAUGCGCAGAUAUCAGGAGGAACACCGGUGGCGAAGGCGGAUCUCUGGGCCGUAACUGACGCUGAGGAGCGAAAGCGUGGGGAGCAAACAG